AUACUUAUUUGACAGGAGAGAUAGUAUGAUCACAAAGUUGGUUUUCCCAAGCCAAAUCUUGCCCAUUGCACUGCGGAUGUGCUGACCCCCUGUGAUUUUCCCACAUGUGGGAAACUUGAUUGCAGAAUUUGUGCUUGUGGGGUUAAAAAAAAAACUCAAAAAACCUCU